GAUGAACGCUGGCGGCGUGCCUAAUACAUGCAAGUCGAGCGAACAGACGAGGAGCUUGCUCCUCUGACGUUAGCGGCGGACGGGUGAGUAACACGUGGAUAACCUACCUAUAAGACUGGGAUAACUUCGGGAAACCGGAGCUAAUACCGGACAAUAUAUUGAACCGCAUGGUUCAAUAGUGAAAGACGGUUUUGCUGUCACUUAUAGAUGGAUCCGCGCCGCAUUAGCUAGUUGGUAAGGUAACGGCUUACCAAGGCGACGAUGCGUAGCCGACUUGAGAGGGUGAUCGGCCACACUGGAACUGAGACACGGUCCAGACUCCUACGGGAGGCAGCAGUAGGGAAUCUUCCGCAAUGGGCGAAAGCCUGACGGAGCAACGCCGCGUGAGUGAUGAAGGUCUUCGGAUCGUAAAACUCUGUUAUUAGGGAAGAACAAAUGUGUAAGUAACUAUGCACGUCUUGACGGUACCUAAUCAGAAAGCCACGGCUAACUACGUG
rnacentral:rRNA from 1 species